rnacentral:rRNA from 1 species
AGAUCACAGGGAUUGCCCCAGUAACGGCGAGUGAAGCGGCAGGAGCUCAAAUUUGAAAUCUGGGGCCCCCGGCCUCCGAGUUGUAAUUUGGAGAGGCUCCUUCGGGGGGGAGCGCUGGCCCAUGUUCCUUGGAACAGGACGUCGCAGAGGGUGAGAAUCCCGUGCCAGGCCGGCUGCCUCCUCCCGCGUGAAGGGCCUUCGACGAGUCGAGUUGUUUGGGAAUGCAGCUCCAAGUGGGUGGUAAAUUUCAUCUAAAGCUAAAUACCGGCGGGAGACCGAUAGCGCACAAGUAGAGUGAUCGAAAGAUGAAAAGCACUUUGAAAAUAGAGUCAAAAAGUACGUGAAAUUGUUGAAAGGGAAGCGCUUGAGACCAGACUCAGACCCAGGCAAACACCGCGCCCCCAGGGGCCGUGCAAUUGCCCGGUGCUGGGCCAGCAUCAGUUGGCGUGGCGGGACAAGGGCGCGGGAAAUGUGGCUCCCCUCGGGGAGUGUUAUCAGGCCCGCGCCGGAUGCCGCCGACGCCGACUGAGGACCGCGCCUCGGCUAGGAUGCUGGCUUAAUGGCCUUCAGCGACCCGUCUUGAAACACGGACCAAGGAGUCUAACAUCUAUGCGAGUGUUUGGGCGCCAAACCCUUGCGCGGAAUGAAAGUGAGCGGAGGUGGGAACCCCUCACCGGGCGCACCAUCGACCGAUCCUGAUGUCUUCGGAUGGAUUUGAGUAGGAGCAUAGCUGUUGGGACCCGAAAGAUGGUGAACUAUGCCUGAAUAGGGUGAAGCCAGAGGAAACUCUGGUGGAGGCUCGCAGCGGUUCUGACGUGCAAAUCGAUCGUCAAAUUUGGGUAUAGGGGCGAAAGACUAAUCGAACCAUCUAGUAGCUGGUCUGC